rnacentral:lncRNA from 1 species
UUCAAAUUUUAAAAAAUAAAAAAAUAAAAAAAUAAAAAAAUAUAAAAUUUUGAAAAUAAAAAAUGUUAUUUUGGUUAUUUUAAUUUUGAGGUUUAUUUUUGUGACAAAAACUAAAACAGAAAAUUCUAUUCGAAAGAAUUGCCAUAAAGAAUUUAAUAAAAACUAUACACAAUUAAAAUAGUUAAAUUAAUUUAUAAUUAAAAUAGAAAAAAAAAAGAAAGGACAAAACAACUCUAAACCCUAAAUCCUAAACUCUAAACCCUAAACCCUAAACUCUAAACCCUAAACCCUAA